UUGAGAAAACACAGAAAAAAAGGGAAUUAAUCGUGGAUACAUUCUAUGCCUAUUCCCACAAUAUUCAUAUACCUUGCACAUGAACCACCGCCCGUUUGGGGUAAGAAAAAAACGAAUGUAUUUACGUGUUGAAUGCCUUCAUUAGUCGUCUAUCUCGGUCAGAACCAAGCCCUCUCGGAAGGUUGUUUCGGUGGGCUCUCCCGUGGUUGAAAGGCUCUGAUUGUCCACCAGAGGUCACAAUGUCCUUCUUCUUAGUUGUCUGUGCUUGUAGUGGAGUGUUUUCACAGCAGAUAUUCAGACGCACCAAUGAUUAUCUGAGAUGGGAUUUUAUCCUUCCCACCUUGUGUCUUUAGUCUGAGUUUGAAGCACUUUACACGCACAGCUGCAGACUGGCAAUGUUCAGGUCUACUCUGGGUCUUAUCUUCUUCACCUCGGGAUGAGGUUAAGUUGUAACCAUUUUCAACAUGUAGCUAACGCUCCACGCAUUUCUGGUCUGGUAUGUUAAUUCUUAGCGUGUCCUUUUAGGCACUCAGGCCAAAGGGGGUGUUCCGUCAUGCUGACAUGAACUCUGAACUCACUUGGGGCGUGGCUAGUCACUGUGCAUAGUUUAUAUGAAGAACAAUUAUCUCAUUAGGAACUAAAAUCUCAUUCCUAUCUUAACAAAAAUAGUUUCAUCCAUUUUCAUAUCACACAGACAGCGUAUUGGAUGGAAACUGGACAGAUAAAACAUGUACACUUUCCGAGUUACAGUAUUUUCUUGAUACCAUUCUUAAUGACAUCACAAAAUAAUAAACAACGUGGCAUGAUUAUUCUUUAGAUCCCCAUUGACCAUUCCAAAAAGACGGAUGUUAGAAAUAUUGUUCCAGUGUUUACUUUUUGGACGUUAUAGUCUUAGCGGCAAAGGUCUUCCGUAGACAAAGGAACAUUUCUUUCCCAAUACUGAAGAGCAAGCGGGAGAUUUCCCUCGAAUUUUUGACAGAGUUUUAAGGUGUCAAAACCGGCCCAGCCCCCCCUCUCUUCUCUUAUGUGGGUGAGAUGGGUCUGGUCAUCGUCAGCCAUUUGCCAAGCUGAUAUGAGGCCUUGGAUCCUCAGCCAGGAGAG
rnacentral:lncRNA from 1 species